CCCAACCUCUCUCCAAGAGUCCCAAGCCCCUCUUCUGUCGGCCCGUUUCUCGCUCUCCCAACACUUUAUACUCCUCACCCUCUCUCCGUGCAAAUUCCCAGCUUAGUCCGGAGUCCUACAGCCUCCGCUUCAGGUCAUUUUCCUGUAUAAAUCAUCUCCAUAACCAGCAUUUAAGUGAAUGGAUCUCACUCCCGUUUGCUUUAUGGAGCCCUCUGGAAUGUGGAGAGAGGAGACACUGCAGGUUAUGUACUUUGCCCACAUCCACCCUGCCAACCAAUCGGGGCUGCUGCUCAGAGAUCUGGCCACAGCAUCCCAGCCUGUUGUCAUUCCUGGGAUGAGAAUGAAGGUGGAGGUUGAGGUUUCCCCAGAAGGUGCCCGCUGGGGGGCAGGAACAGGCAGGAGGAGAGGCCUGGGGCCGUACGCACAGCCUCCAGCUGCAGUUCCCAGGCUGCUGGUUCCCCUGUCACUUUCCCGUUCCUGACUCCACUCACCCACCCUAGAGGGCUUCGACUCCCACUUCCCAGGAGAGAAGAGAGUGGCUCAGAGACGUUGCCCAGAGGGGUAAGACCCAUGUUCUUAUUUCCCAAACUUGCUCUCAGCCCCUCUAGGACUGUCCUGCCUGGGACAACAGAACUGAGGGGUCAGAGGUGGCCCCGGGCCCCAUUGCGGGGGGAGGGGGCAGCCAGGCAGCAUUGCUGCCAGGGCCAGCGACUAAUCGUCAGAGCCCCACCAAAGGCCCCCGCUAAGAAUGCAGGUCAGCGGGAGGAGCUGCAAGCGGAGGAGGGGCGGCCCCAGCCCUGCCCAGACAGGCCCAGCCGGCCCCACAGCUGCCCUCCUGUCCCCUGGGGGCAGCGAUGGGGGACAGGAGGGGAGGAUUCGCCAGUUUCCUGGGGUCUGAGUCCCCAGAACCGGGAAGACAAAAAGAAGAGUUGCAGGGAGUGGAGUAGGCCUGAGGUCACAGGAAUGGGCCUCCACCCAGGCGUCUAAGUCCAGCAGCAUAUGAAAAUAAACAUUUGACCCCCUCACCAGUCUGCUCUCCACUGUAAUCCCCAAAUCAUGCUGAUGCCAUUUAAGAAAUUUUGGGACAUCAGACUCUCCCAAACAAGUGAUGGAAUUGGCCAACCUGGGUACCAGACUUGGCUCUGAGAAAGUCGGUUAGGAUUAGAGUGAGGGGAAUAGGAGUCCCACUAGGGUAGACAAUUUUGGUCAUCAGGUAGGAUGGGAAGAUGGAAGAAUAUAGUAACCUACUCUGCACCCUUGGAGCUAAAAACUGAUCCCUAUCAACCUUCCUAGGUUUAGGACUCUGGAGUCAUGAGGCUUUUACUCUGACAUGUGUCAGGCACGGACUGUGCACCAGGCACGGAGCAGCCUGGAAAAGUAUGCAUUCGCACAUAUCUGGGGGUGCCCCAUGGACCCAGCGAGGUACUUCUGUGCACACCGCGAUUGUGUAACUGUGGCGGGUCUCUAGCUGGGAGCUGCAGUACGAACCUUUCCUUCAUACUUUCCAGCUGGGCGGGAGCCCAUCAGAUAGCUAGGCUGCCUUUCAUCACCUUGUCCCUGAUAGGGAUCAUCCUGGGUGAAGAAAUCGCUGUCAGUCACCCCCACCUCACUCACAACCAGAAGGCCUGAUUGACAGGCACACCCCCACAGGGGCGGGGAGAGGGGGCCAAGAGGCUGGCCAUCUCUGGGAAGGCAGGGAACCAGCAUUCUUGGUGGGGGAGGCUAAAGAAGGGGCUUGCAUAUGGAAGAGGAAGGAAAUAUCUAGAAUCUUUCCAUCUCCACAGGUGACGACCAGGGAAGAACAGUCAGCCCAGCUAUCAACCCCGAGGGAACCCCACCCUCCUCCUGCACCAACAACCUCCGGGCACGGCAGGAUCCGACCCUUCAAUCAGCUCAGCUCUGCCCCCAAACAAAGGGAGGGGAGGCUGCCCAGGGUUGCAGGAUGAAAGAGAAGUGUCCACCCCACCCUGCAGCCAGCCUGGUCCUCACUGCUGAGGGACCCUGAGUCAAAAAGGAAGCCAGAGCUGGAAGACAAAUGAAGCAGUGAUGUGGUUGAUGACUUUAUUAUGGCAUAAAAAACACAGGCCGCUUCUUCCUCCUCCUCCCCCCACCCCCCUAAAGUGGGUUCACAGCAGUUAAAGAAAAAAAAAAAUUCCUACAUUUCUCCUCUAGGGGGCUGCCUAGAAGAGGGCAGACAGCCAAGCAACCUCGGUCUAUAAAAGAGGGGAGCAGAAAAAAACCUAUCCAAAGCCCUCACCCGCACACCUUAGAGCUCGGGGCCUCCAUGGGGGAAACAUCCACACCCCCUCUCCAACACCCACUAGGGAGCUCCCCUGAGAAUGGUCACUGGGAAAGACUAUCCUGGUGGCACAGGGAGAGGGUGGCUGCUUUCGAUGGGUGGAGGAAAACGACAUCUCACGCCCACGGAACCCUCUCUCCCUCCCCCUUUCCCACCGGGCCAGGCAACCUGCAGGCACUGCCCAUUCUCUUCUGCCCCCAACUCUCUCCACAAGGAAAGGGACCUCUGGUCAGAUAAGCAGGAGGUAGGGACAGAGGGAGCAUAAAGAAAGGACGUGACUUCUUAACCUACCCCAUGGGUCCUUCAGGGAGAGUCACCCUACCCCUCAUAAGAAGGGCUCUCUUCUACACAAACAUAUCCCCUCCCCGCCCCCGCCAGAUUCCAGCCCCACUUCCCAAAAAGCACCCAGUCCUUGGACUGGGCUCCAGCAUCCCCAAGGAAAAGAUGCUAUGGGCCUUAGGCCAGAGGACCUUGGCUGGGUUGAACAAGACGGGGUCUCCCUGGCUGGAGACCCCAGGCUCAG